AUUGAACGCUGGCGGCAUGCCUAACACAUGCAAGUCGAACGAGUGGCGGACGGGUGAGUAAUGUCUGGGUAACUGCCUGAUGGAGGGGGAUAACUACUGGAAACGGUAGCUAAUACCGCAUACCAUCAGAUGUGCCCAGCUGGGAUUAGCGAGUUGGUGGGGUAACGGCUCACCAAGGCGACGAUCCCUAGCUGGUCUGAGAGGAUGACCAGCCACACGGGAACGGAGAUACGGUCCAGACGACUACGGGAGGCAGCAGUGGUGAGUAUUGAACAAUGGGCGCAAGCCUGAUGCAGCGAUGCAACGUGUAUGAAGAAGGCCUUCGGGUUGUAAAGUACUUUCAGCGGGGAGGCGUUACCCGCAGAAGAAGCACCGGCUAACUCCGUGCCAGCAGCCGCGGUAAUUC
rnacentral:rRNA from 1 species